rnacentral:tRNA from 1 species
GGUCGUGGAGCUGAAGUAAGCGUUUCCGCCUAUGACGCGGAACGCCUGGGUUCAAACCCUGGCUUGACCA